rnacentral:lncRNA from 1 species
GUUCUUUUAGUUUGAAGAGGACAAGGGGUGAGGAGUAGGUAUAUAUUGAAUAUAAAUAUUAAAACUACUGUUUUUUAUUAGCUUAAGUUUUUAGAAAAGUACGAUUGUUUCAUAUAAUUUAACUAAUGUCAGAGCAGAAGAUCUUCAAGGCCGCAUCUUAGAUUUAUCUAAAAGUAUCGAACCCAUAUGCGAGGGGGAGUGUCGACGACAAUCUAAAUCAUGCUAGCUUGCGCAGACAACUGUCUUUUUCUUUUUAAAACUUCAAAUAACUUCAAAUGCACAUUAAGGGCACGUUUGGUUCACAUAUUUUAGACUAUGGAAUCGAAAUGGAAUUCAUAGAUUUCGAUAGUCACCAUUUGUUUUAUAGGAAUCGGAUUCCGAUUUCCAUUCCGCUCCGGAAUGGGAAUGGCCAAAUUCAUUUAUGAUCCAAUCCGGGAUUCACGGCUUUGAAUCCCGGAUUGGUUCAUUCCAAAGUAAACUAUUCAAAAUCCUCUUUUAUCAACACAUAUCUCAUUUUUCUUCAUCACUUUUUUCUCUCUUAAUCAAAACCCUCUCUCAAAAAUUUUAACUUUUCGCUCCGAUUUCCAUUCUAAUAAUGAACCAAACAUUUUUGGAUGAUUCGCCAUUACAUUUUUCAUUCCAAAGCAAUUCAAUUUCAUUUUGCAUUCCUAUUUCAAUCAUGAACGAAACAUGCCCUAAAAACGAUCUGCUCUUCCAUUAUUAUAAAAUGAC